rnacentral:rRNA from 1 species
UACGUAGGGUGCGAGCGUUUGCCGGAUUUACUAGGGCGUAAACGCGCGUAGGCGGAUCGCUAAGUCACGGGGUGAAAGUCCCAGGGGCUCAACCCUGGAACUGCCUUUGAUACUGACGAUCUGGAGAUCGGGAGAGGUUGGUGGAAUUCCGAGUGUAGAGGUGAAAUUCGUAGAUAUUCGCAAGAACACCAGUGGCGAAGGCGGCUCACUGGCCCGAUACUGACGCUGAAGGCACGAAAGCGUGGGGAGCAAACAGG